rnacentral:rRNA from 1 species
UACGUAGGGACCAAGCGUUGUCCGGAAUCAUUGGGCGUAAAGAGCGUGUAGGCGGCUUGUUAAGUCUUGCGUGAAAUCUCGGGGCUCAACCCCGAGCGGUCGUGAGAAACUGGCAGGCUAGAGUGCGGGAGAGGAGAGUGGAAUUCCUGGUGUAGCGGUGAAAUGCGCAGAUAUCAGGAAGAACACCCGUGGCGAAGGCGGCUCUCUGGAACGCAACUGACGCUGAGACGCGAAAGCGUGGGGAGCAGACAGG